AGGUGCAAUCGUAUCAGCACCAAUGCACCAGAUCCCAUCGAAACUUCAAAGUUAAGCGCGCUUGGGUGAGAAUAGUACUAAGAUGGACUUUGUCACAAGACUUUCACAGACACAGC
rnacentral:rRNA from 1 species